CCCAAUCCCAUACCAUUUACUAGCAAUGUUUACAGCGAGCGUUUUCUAACCCCCACAUCUGUACCAUCUAUCCCACAUGCAAAUAAUACUACCACAUAUCAACUUGCUCAUGUCGAAAGUGCACCAGGAUGCCAUGCCAUGCCAUGCCAAUGCGCGCUACUCUGCGCUAUCCUGCUCCAGUACUUACCAGCCAUCUACCCUUUGCAGUACCAAAGUGGGGGAGAUUGAAAUUUCGCUAAGGAAAGUCGGGUAGACCCCCAUGCAGCAAUGAAGUGGCAUACCUUUUCCCGCUAAAGUCAUGUACGGUAUCCCGCUAGAGAUACGUAAGGUUACACAGUAAAAUUAGUCAGCACUCGAUACGGGUAAAAAGAUGAAAUAAAAACAUUUAACGUACAUUAGAUACGACUGCAUUCACCAAUCACAAGUCCAUAAAAUAGAUGAAUGAAAAUGCCGGAGGAAGCCGAGAGAGUAACAAUUUUUGCUUAAGCGUUAUAGCGGUGGCUUAGCCCAAGCUGAUAUGUCAUUUUGAGUCAUGAACGUACAGCGAAUCACUAGCUAUGAGCGGAUUGACUUUUUACAUUUGCGAAGCAUCGCCAACGGUUAAUAUGUGUUGAUGUAGCAAUCGAUGGUAACCAAACGUACAUAAGCUUUAAAAAAAAUUUCCUUUUUCAAAUCCCACAUGCGCUGUGAAAUCGGCAAUAACAAUAGAUUCAAUGGUUUCAAUAUUGUUUUUUGUACGUACAUAACAAAAGGAGGGGAGAGAGUAAUGAGAGACGCAAUAUUGUAUAGAAUCACAUGUUCUUCUAUAUUUGAUGUAAACAACUGCAACCCUGAGCUUUUGAGCUCAUUACGACACCGUAUGAAGUAUUGUAGUUGUUUUUAGCACUCGGAAUGGGAAACGCAAGAAACCCACCACCAAACCAUUACUAUGCAAGAGAUGGCAGUACGGAGACGGGUGAAGGAAAGAGCGAGUAGAUCGUGUUGCUGAAAAGGCCGACACAUCCUUUCAACGCCGACCAUUGUUUCUAUUUUCACACAAAAAAAAUAAAUCCAAUCCGUGAAAUUAAUAAAAAGCAUAGAGGAAAAACGGGUUGUAUACUGAGAGCUGUCAAACCGAUAUGGCGACACGGCUAAAUAGGAAUUUCGGCGAUUUGGCCCUUAAGAGCAGGACUAGAUAAGUAACCGAGCUAUGAAAAUAGUAAAACUUAGCUCACCUUACAUUUGUUGCCAGGCAAACGGUGAACCUUCUUCUAUCUUAUUGCUGAAUUCUCGUCAUUCUGGCUAGACAUUGUGGGCACGCACGAGCGAAGAUCUGUCACGAGGUUAGUUAGGAUAACCGGCUCUACCGGGUUACUGUGGUUGUAGCCGGACAACCGUAAUUAUUUGUUGAGUGCUAGACAACGAAUGAGAUUAGAUUGUAUAAGAAGGAAACGAGCAAAAAAAGAUGAGGGUAAUAAAAAUUUUAUUUUUCUUUUGUAAUAACAACAAAUCCAAAGGAAUAAGAUAAAAAGUGUAAAUAUCCAUUAUUUCUCUCCCAUUUCUCUUCUCUUCUCUUCCCUUCCCAUUUCAAAAGUCCACUUCCUUUCAUGUCGCAUCUACCCACUCAUCAACAAAGGAAAAAAGUUGCUUACUCAUUUUAGAUAACCUUUAUUUAUCGUUUAGUUCACGAUGAUGGGUGGAUGCCACAAAUGUUACGUAAAGUGCCAACUAGGUUGAAACCAGUCCCGGCUAAAUGGAAUCCCACCAGCUUCGUUAGCGUUAUUCCCCUUGAAUGAAGGGUGGAAAAUCCCUUAGGGAAAAGAUAUCUCAAUCUUUCGCAUAGAUACGAGACUAGCAUGAAUAACGUUGCUCUUGUUCUUCCACUUUACCCGAAUAUCACCUUCCCUUACCAUAAACAGGUCGUUUAAUUUCGCAAAUUUACUUUUUUUCAGUCCACCACCCUGAGGCCGCACCGUCGUUCCGAUUCCGUACGGUCCGCCAUUAAGAUUUAAGAGGUAGGUUGAAGAGGAAGGGCAGGGUGUUAUGCAAUCCAAUCCCUUGUACCGGGAAAGAAAAAAGAGUUGAGAGUUUGCUUGCGUAUCGACUUUUUGCCGCUUGAGGGUAAAAGCAGUGAAUGGUGGAAAAAUUCGUCAAUCAAGCAAUCAAGCGAAAAAAAAAAGAGAAAACCCACCCUGUCCAGCGAGCAAGCUUAUACAAAGGGAUGUUUGCUUUUGAACGGAAAAUGUGCGACAUUCAUUCCCUUUCCCUUGCUCUUUGCCAAUGUAAAGAAGACAUAUUUUUUUUCUCUACAAUUUGAAAAUGCGAGCAUAGUGAAAUGCUGAGAUGCAUUCUGAUUGCUCUUCAUCACCCAUUGUGGCUUGUGUCUAUGGGUAUGUUUUUUUUUUUUAUGUGUAUGUAUGUAUGUAUGUGUGUGUAUGGAUGAUGACGCUGUUUAGCAUGAGCAUGAAUACCUAUGGUUCGGCAAUUAUAACUCUUGACCGCACACACACGCACACCACUCACUUUCCAAGUAGAUAAUUACACUGCAGAAUUGUUGCUCUUCACUCCUCUCUGUCUGACUAGAAAUGCUUUUGGAAGGGGGAGAUGCGUCAACACGUGCCACCUCUGUUAGGGUAGUUUCCCCUUGCCUCUUUAGCCUGGCCGCCCUGAAAAGGUUUAUGUCUAGAUGUGCAUGUGGGAUGGACCUGUUUCGUUCGGUUGCGUGACCAAAGACCGCCUUCUCCUAUUGGCUAGGAAUCCUUUGAUUAGCUUGUUAAAGAAUUCGGGUUACUGGUUAUGAUGUCAUUAUUUGACUUUGAGUGCUUAAGGUAGCGCGGGUCCUCGCCAAUUUUUUUUUCGCAUCGACUUUGCCCCGCGAGAUACUUGUUGACUUUUUUUAAUAUAUUACUGUUGUCUUCCACCACAUUUCUCCCCUUACUUGAUGCCUAGACAGUGC
rnacentral:lncRNA from 1 species